rnacentral:rRNA from 1 species
UCGUGUCGGGAAAGAUUCAUCGGUAUGGGAUGGGGUCGCGUCCUAUCAGCUUGAUGGCGGGGUAACGGCCCACCAUGGCUUCGACGGGUAGCCGGCCUGAGAGGGCGACCGGCCACAUUGGGACUGAGAUACGGCCCAGACUCCUACGGGAGGCAGCAGUGGGGAAUAUUGCACAAUGGGCGCAAGCCUGAUGCAGCGACGCCGCGUGCGGGAUGACGGCCUUCGGGUUGUAAACCGCUUUUGACUGGGAGCAAGCCCUUCGGGGUGAGUGUACCUUUCGAAUAAGCACCGGCUAACUACGUGCCAGCAGCCGCGGUAAUACGUAGGGUGCAAGCGUUAUCCGGAAUUAUUGGGCGUAAAGGGCUCGUAGGCGGUUCGUCGCGUCCGGUGUGAAAGUCCAUCGCUUAACGGUGGAUCCGCGCCGGGUACGGGCGGG